UCCGGUUUGUCACCGGCAGUCCCACUAGAGUGCCCAGCUUGACCUGAUGGCAACUAGAAACAGGGGUUUCGCUCGUUAAGGGACUUAACCCGACAUCUCACGACACGAGCUGACGACAGCCAUGCAACACCUUUGUACGUUCCACCGGUUAAGGUGUCAUUCUACUUUCAUAGAACUAAUCCGUACACUUCGAGCCCGGGUAAGGUUCUUCGCGUUGCAUCGAAUUAAGCAACAUGCUCCACCGCUUGUGUGAGCCCCCGCCAAUUCCUUUGAGUUUCAAUCUUGCGAUCGUACUUCCCAGGUGGGAUACUUAAUGCUUUCGCUCAGACACACACAGUGUAUCGCGUAUGUCGAGUAUCCAUCGUUUAGGGCGUGGACUAC
rnacentral:misc_RNA from 1 species